UACGUAGGGUGCGAGCGUUGUCCGGAAUUACUGGGCGUAAAGAGCUCGUAGGCGGUUUGUCGCGUCGUCCGUGAAAACUUGGGGCUCAACCCCAAGCUUGCGGGCGAUACGGGCAGACUUGAGUACUGCAGGGGAGACCGGAAUUCCUGGUGUAGCGGUGAAAUGCGCAGAUAUCAGGAGGAACACCGGUGGCGAAGGCGGGUCUCUGGGCAGUAACUGACGCUGAGGAGCGAAAGCGUGGGUAGCGAACAGG
rnacentral:rRNA from 1 species